rnacentral:rRNA from 2 species
AGCAGCCGCGGUAAUUCCAGCUCCAAUAGCGUAUAUUAAAGUUGUUGCAGUUAAAAAGCUCGUAGUUGAAUUUCGGGAUCAGUAUGUUGGUCGUGCUUCGGUACGUACUGUCAUUACUGGUUUCUACCUUCUGAAGAACCUUGAUGUCAUUAAUUUGGUGUCUUGGGGAAUCAGGACUGUUACUUUGAAAAAAUUAGAGUGUUUAAAGCAAGCAUACGCUUGAAUACAUUAGCAUGGAAUAAUGAAAUAGGACGUUUGAUUCUAUUUUGUUGGUUUCUAGGAUCGACGUAAUGAUUAAUAGGGAUAGUUGGGGGCAUUAGUAUUCAAUUGUCAGAGGUGAAAUUCUUGGAUUUAUUGAAGACUAACUACUGCGAAAGCAUUUGCCAAGGAUGUUUUCAUUAAUCAAGAACGAAAGUUAGGGGAUCGAAGACGAUCAGAUACCGUCGUAGU